CAGGACGAACGCUAGCGGCAGGCUAACACAUGCAAGUCGAGGGGCAUCGGGAGUAGCAAUACUGCCGGCGACCGGCGCAAGGGUGCGUAACGCGUGAGCAACAUGCCCGUAUCAGGGGGAUAAUCCAUGGAAACGUGGUCUAAUACCCCAUAGUAAUUAUGUAAGGCAUCUUAUAUAAUUUAAAGCUUUGGUGGAUACGGAUUGGCUCGCGUGACAUUAGCUGGAUGGUAAGGUAACGGCUUACCAUGGCUACGAUGUCUAGGGGUUCUGAGAGGAAGGUCCCCCCACACUGGAACUGAGACACGGUCCAGACUCCUACGGGAGGCAGCAGUGAGGAAUAUUGGACAAUGGAUGGAAAUCUGAUCCAGCCAUGCCGCGUGCAGGGAAAGACGGCCCUAUGGGUUGUAAACUGCUUUUGUAUGGGAGCAAUAAGGGCUACGUGUAGUCCGAUGAGAGUACCAUACGAAUAAGCACCGGCUAACUCCGUGCCAGCAGCAGC
rnacentral:rRNA from 1 species